AAAAGCCACCUAGCAGGGGCAUUAAAAUUUGAUUUCCAUUGAUAUCCCCAACGAUAAAAAUCCAUACCAUUGGCAUCAUACCUCAAAGCGAGAUGUCUUAACCGGGGCAUAUCCAAUUACCCAGUUGCAUUCCUGCAUGCAUCACAAGCAUCAUUUCAUGCAUAAUUUCCUGCCAAACAAGGAAAUUCAAAAAAACAGUCAUAUCAAUCAUCAACAUACUCAUGCAUAACACUCCCACAAAAUGGGAAUUUCAGCAAAAAA
rnacentral:lncRNA from 1 species